UACCCGCUGAAUUUAAGCAUAUUAAUAAGC
rnacentral:rRNA from 4 species